rnacentral:tRNA from 1 species
CGGGGCGUAGCGCAGCCUGGUAGCGCACUUGCAUGGGGUGCAAGGGGUCGUGAGUUCGAAUCCCACCGCUCCGACCA